GACGAACGCUGGCGGCGUGCCUAAUACAUGCAAGUCGAACGCAGUGGGGACGGGUGAGUAACACGUGGGUAACCUCCCAUCAGAGGGGAUAACACUUGGAAACAGGUGCUAAACCGAUACUGAUGGAUGGACCCGCGUGGCAUUAGCUAGUUGGUGAGGUACAGGCGAACCAAGGCCACGAUGCAUAGCCGACCUGAGAGGGUGAUAGGCAACACUGGGACUGAGACACGGCCCAGACUCCUACGGGAGGCAGAAGUAGGGAAUAUUCGGCAAUGGACGAAAGUCUGACCGAGCAACGCCGCGUGAGUGAAGAAGGUUUUCGGAUCGUAAAGCUCUGUUGUUAGAGAAGCGGUAUCUAACCAGAAAGCCAAGGCUAACUACGUGCCAGCAGCCGCGGUAAUUC
rnacentral:rRNA from 1 species